rnacentral:rRNA from 1 species
UGCGUAGGCGGAUUAUUAAGUCAGUGGUGAAAGUCUUCAGCUUAACUGAAGAAGUGCCAUUGAUACUGGUAGUCUUGAGUACAGUAGAGGUAGGCGGAAUUUAUGGUGUAGCGGUGAAAUGCAUAGAUACCAUAAAGAACACCGAUAGCGUAGGCAGCUUACUAUACUGUAACUGACGCUGAGGCACGAAAGCGUGGGGAGCGAACAGGAUUAGAUACCCGUGUAGUCC